CACUCUCACAGAGGAAUUCAUAUCACACCAUCAGAAAGGAUAAUUCGGUUGAAGGAAAUGCAGAGGGAGUCAUCUUCUGAGGUCUCAUCAGUUUCAGUGGAGAUGUUUUCUGAAAGCCAUGGACACAGAAGAGGGUGUUUUGGAUGGCUCCUCUCUAAGCUUAUGUGCACUGAAGACAUCCACUGGUUCAAGUAAUGUUUGAGUGUAACCAAACAUUCAAACCUAAGGUGGAGGAAUGUAAAUAAAUCAAAGCAAGA